rnacentral:rRNA from 1 species
CCUACGGGAGGCAGCAGUGGGGAAUAUUGGACAAUGGGGGCAACCCUGAUCCAGCCAUGCCGCGUGUGUGAAGAAGGCCCUCGGGUUGUAAAGCACUUUCAGUGAGGAAGAACGCCUGGUGGUUAAUACCCAUCAGGAAAGACAUCACUCACAGAAGAAGCACCGGCUAACUCCGUGCCAGCAGCCGCGGUAAUACGGAGGGUGCGAGCGUUAAUCGGAAUUACUGGGCGUAAAGCGCGCAUAGGUGGCUUGAUAAGCCGGUUGUGAAAGCCCCGGGCUCAACCUGGGAACGGCAUCCGGAACUGUCAAGCUAGAGUGCAGGAGAGGAAGGUAGAAUUCCCGGUGUAGCGGUGAAAUGCGUAGAGAUCGGGAGGAAUACCAGUGGCGAAGGCGGCCUUCUGGACUGACACUGACACUGAGGUGCGAAAGCGUGGGUAGCAAACAGGAUUAGAUACCCCAGUAGUC